rnacentral:tRNA from 1 species
GAGGGUAUAGCUCAGUGGUUGAGUGAAGGCCUUUCAUGCCUGAGGUCCUGGGUUUAAUCCCCAGUACCUCCA